rnacentral:rRNA from 1 species
UACGAAGGGGGCUAGCGUUGCUCGGAAUCACUGGGCGUAAAGCGCACGUAGGCGGCUUGCUAAGUCAGGGGUGAAAUCCUGGAGCUCAACUCCAGAACUGCCUUUGAUACUGGCGAUCUUGAGUCCGGGAGAGGUGAGUGGAACUGCGAGUGUAGAGGUGAAAUUCGUAGAUAUUCGCAAGAACACCAGUGGCGAAGGCGGCUCACUGGCCCGGUACUGACGCUGAGACGCGAAAGCGUGGGGAGCAAACAGG